rnacentral:rRNA from 1 species
UACGAAGGGGGCUAGCGUUGCUCGGAAUCACUGGGCGUAAAGCGCACGUAGGCGGAUUGUUAAGUCAGGGGUGAAAUCCUGGAGCUCAACUCCAGAACUGCCUUUGAUACUGGCGAUCUUGAGUCCGGGAGAGGUGAGUGGAACUCCGAGUGUAGAGGUGAAAUUCGUAGAUAUUCGGAAGAACACCAGUGGCGAAGGCGGUUCUCUGGGCAUGUCCUGACGCUGAGGAGCGAAAGUGUGGGGAGCGAACAGG